rnacentral:rRNA from 1 species
UAUCCCUACGGGAGGCAGCAGUGGGGAAUAUUGCACAAUGGGGGAAACCCUGAUGCAGCGACGCCGCGUGAGUGAGGAAGUAUUUCGGUAUGUAAGGCUCUAUCAGCAGGGAAGAAAAUGACGGUACCUGACUAAGAAGCCCCGGCUAACUACGUGCCAGCAGCCGCGGUAAUACGUAUGGUGCAAGCGUUAUCCGGAUUUACUGGGUGUAAAGGGAGCGCAGGCGGCACGGCGAGCCUGAUGUGAAAGCCCGCGGCCCAACCGCG